UUGGGUCCUAAAAUGAAGCUUAGAUUGCUGAUAUUAUUAUUUACAGCGAUAAAGCUUAUUUUUCUGAGUACAAUGACCCUUUGUACGACCACAAAGAGUUUAAAAUGGAUUUUUAAAUCAUUUUUGAAAAAUUAACCUUGCGGUCCUUCUUGACAGAAAAGCUCCUACUUGACAGCUCGUUCCAAGGGGACCAUAGUUGAUCCAUCGAAAAAAUGUUGUCUUGUCAAAAAAAAAUUGCAUUAAAAUGGAAAAAAGUGAUCAGAAAUGGUUUUUAAUCGUGUUUUUUACCGUUGUACAUAAUAAUUGACAUAGGGCUUUAGUACCCAAUUUAGGCAAACUGUCAAAAAGUGCGAGUUUGUUUGUUUGUUUGUCGUAGUAUAAUAGCUCCUUCACUGUAAGUUUGGGGAUUAUUUUUUUCUCCGUUACGUAAUAAAUGAAAGCUCCCUUAUGUUUAAUCGUGUUAAAUAUUUUUACCCAUGCAUUUCAUGAUUUUUGUUCUUGUCAACGUUUGGCUUGACAACCCUGCGCAUUUUUCACAUUUCUCUGUUCGCUUGGCUGUCGUUUAUCAUUUUACUCUCUCACUUUUUUUGGAAUCAGCCUGCUGUGUGGACGCGAACAGCAAGACAUCUCCUCAAAACAUCCGGCGUUUGGGAAAUGCGCCAGCGCCGCGGUAAAGUUCGACUUCCGGCUGGAAGCCUGCUCCCUCCCAAGGGGCGUAGGUUCCGCUAGGACGGUCCAGCUUUGAAGAGAACCGCAAACUCAUUUCGUCCUCCCAACCAAACAACCCCGAAAAUGCCGCAACACGGUGGAGUCUCGUUCUUCUUCGGGCACGAUUCGGGAGGGAGCCGAGUGUUUUGCAACCAACCUAGAAUGUAGUAAAUUUGUGUGUUUUUGUGUCCAAUAAAAUUGUGUUUUCAUCGUAAAG